rnacentral:misc_RNA from 1 species
GAAAGAGUGAAAUAAAAAAAACAAUAAACCAGAUUUAAAAUUAGAUAAUCUAUACAUAGUAUCUACGUCUUAGCAAUCAAUCCUUUUGUCAGUUCUCAACAUAUCAGUAUCAAAAUGAGUGGAAAAAGUUGCAUUAAUAGAAAUACUGAACAAAGGAAUUCUACAAUGAAUAGUUACCAUGUGGGGCCAGCAAAGAAGAAAGAGAAAUUGUCCACUUAUGGAGGUAUAAAGAAUAGAGCCUCCUGAAGAUAAAAUUCUUUGUGUGGAGUGCCUUUCUUGAUUCCAGUUUAACUAUAGACAGUUUGAUGAAGAGAGGAUUUCAUUAGGCCAAUUAGAGUUACAUGGUGGACAGAAAAAGGAGAAUGUCAAUCAUCAUUGUUCCUUGAAGAGGUUGGGCCUUCGUAUUUUCUAGGUUGGGAUUAGUAGUGCUCAGUGUUGUCAAGAGAUGCCCAGGC